rnacentral:rRNA from 1 species
GACGAACGCUGGCGGCGUGCUUAACACAUGCAAGUCGAACGGAAAGGCCCUGCUUUUGUGGGUUGCUCGAGGGGCGAACGGGUGAGUAGCACGUGAGUAACCUGCCCUUGACUUUGGGAUAACUUAAGGAAACUGGGGCUAAUACCGGAUAGGAGCUCCGGCUGCAGGGUGGGGGUUGGAAAGGUUGGGCGGUUGGGGAUGGACUCGCGGCUUAUCAGCUGGUUGGUGGGGGAGUGGCUUACCAAGGCUUUGACGGGUGGCCGGCCUGGGAGGGUGACCGGCAACAUUGGGACUGAGAUACGGCCCAGACUCCUACGGGAGGAAGCAGUGGGGAAUAUUGCACAAUGGGCGGAAGCCUGAUGCAGCAACGCCGCGUGCGGGAUGACGGCCUUCGGGUGGUAAACCGCUUUCGCAGGUGACGAAGCGUUAGUGACGGUAAUGGGUAAAGAAGCACCGGCUAACUACGUG